rnacentral:rRNA from 1 species
UACGUAGGGGGCAAGCGUUGUCCGGAAUCAUUGGGCGUAAAGAGCGCGUAGGCGGUCCGGUAAGUCCGCUCUGAAAGUCCGGGGCUCAACCCCGGGAGGCGGGCGGAUACUGUCGGGCUAGAGUCCGGAAGAGGCGAGUGGAAUUCCUGGUGUAGCGGUGAAAUGCGCAGAUAUCAGGAGGAACACCAAUGGCGAAGGCAGGUCUCUGGGCUGACACUGACGCUCAUGCACGAAAGCGUGGGGAGCAAACAGG